GAUGAACGCUGGCGGCGUGCCUAACACAUGCAAGUCGAGCGAUUCUCUUCGGAGAAGAGCGGCGGACGGGUGAGUAACGCGUGGGUAACCUGCCCUGUACACACGGAUAACAUACCGAAAGGUAUGCUAAUACGAGAUAAUAUGCUUUUAUCGCAUGGUAGAAGUAUCAAAGCUUUUGCGGUACAGGAUGGACCCGCGUCUGAUUAGCUAGUUGGUAAGGUAACGGCUUACCAAGGCGACGAUCAGUAGCCGACCUGAGAGGGUGAUCGGCCACAUUGGAACUGAGACACGGUCCAAACUCCUACGGGAGGCAGCAGUGGGGAAUAUUGCACAAUGGGCGAAAGCCUGAUGCAGCAACGCCGCGUGAGCGAUGAAGGCCUCGGUCGUAA
rnacentral:rRNA from 1 species